CGGUCUUCUGGGUAAAACCUGGCCGCCGUUUCUGCGACCCUUCCGGAGCCUCCGAAAACAAAGAAUUGGUGGUGUCGUCAAAAGCUGUGCAGGCUGCAGGUAAGAUAACUACCAGGCCAACUAGGGCGGGACUCACGAAUUAAGUACCACAACCCUACAAGGUAUUGGGGCUUCCUGCUUGCAGCGCACGAACCAUUUACUGUAACCAUCCUUUUCUUGGGGUUGCGCUACUGUCCAAUGAGCGCAUAGUGAGGGCAGUACUGCUAACGCCUAAACAACACACUCGCAUCAACUGAAGUUCUGCUUUACGUUGGUGCAAUUUUUGGAAAAAACGAAAACCCUUCAAUAACAGUAAACCAUGGAUAAAUAUAAUACAGUAUGAAGUGGGGGGAGUAACUGCAUCCAGCAGAGCCAGUGGAGGUCACCAUCAAGUACACUUGAUAUGGUGUUAUGAAAACGGCAUUUUGCCUCUGUGAUAGUCCUUACUAAAACCCCUAAGCCCAGUCUAAGCAUAAGAGAGGA